rnacentral:rRNA from 1 species
CGUGGGUAACCUGCCUUAUAGUGGGGGAUAGCCUUUCGAAAGGAAGAUUAAUACCGCAUAAGAUUGUAGUAUCGCAUGAUAUAGCAAUUAAAGGAGCAAUCCGCUAUAAGAUGGACCCGCGUCGCAUUAGCUAGUUGGCGAGGUGAUGGCUCACCAAGGCGACGAUGCGUAGCCGACCUGAGAGGGUGAUCGGCCACAUUGGGACUGAGACACGGCCCAGACUCCUACGGGAGGCAGCAUG